AUGGGAGGAUCAUCAUCCUCUAUAGCUAAUAUUCUAAGUGCAGUGCAAGUGUGCUCAAGCAAUGGUGUCCGCUAAAUGAGAUUAGAUGUAAAAUGAAAAAAAUGUACACAAGAACAUCAUAUAUUAUACAAAAUCGGACCCUGACCAAAACGUUUUUGUGAUGACAUAAUUGCAGCUGCCUCACGCUCAUCUCAUGCUGCAUUGUCAGGGCAGAAGAGGAACUGGGACUGGCUUGGGGUAAACCACUGCUUUGGAGGUUUCUUUUCAGACCCGAGAACCACUGUUUUGUGUUUGGACUGCUACAUCUGAGAGGUGAUGGAGUCCUGCUGGCUGACAAUCAGAAGUGAUGUGGAGGAACCUGAGGAUGUCAGAUUUUAUCUUCAUAUCUGGUUCAUCACCUUUUGGAAAAGUACUGUACAAACUGCAAUAAUAAGACUGCAAAAAUAUGAAAGGAGAAUGGGAAAAUGAAAAUAGGGCACGCAGACCAAAAAGCAUGAGAACGAAGAUCUUACCUACAGUUUAUCAUUUAUUUUAUAGAAUAUGAAUAUUUUGGUUUUCAACUUUACAUUUUAUUUUUAUUCACUGUAUUAUGUAGCAAAUAUUUACUGUAAAUCAACCCAAGGCUUCACACUAGACCAACAGUUUCAUAUGGACCCCCACCUGAAAACGCGCUAGAAACCGCGCUAGUUAUACCAUGUAUGCUGUAUAUCCUAGCAGGGAUGAGGUUAAUCAGAUGAUCACUGGAUCAGGAGUUUAACUUAACCAGCGGAUGUCUGGUCACUGUGGAUGGAGACAGAUUAUACCACUAUAAAUCCUUAAAGACAUAAGCCAUGACUGUUUUAUGAGGACUUGUCUACUAUUCAUGUAUUUCAGACAGAGAAUUAACAUCUAACUCCAAUUUAUUUGCAGCAUAUACAUUUUAUUAUUGACUUUUAAUGUUUUUUGCUUUUCAAUAAAAGAGAAUUUGGUAAAAAUAUAACAAAA